GAGCGAACAGGAUUAGAUACCCUGGUAGUCCACGCCGUAAACGGUGGAUGCUGGAUGUGGGGCCCGUUCCACGGGUUCCGUGUCGGAGCUAACGCGUUAAGCAUCCCGCCUGGGGAGUACGGCCGCAAGGCUAAAACUCAAAGAAAUUGACGGGGGCCCGCACAAGCGGCGGAGCAUGCGGAUUAAUUCGAUGCAACGCGAAGAACCUUACCUGGGCUUGACAUGUUCCCGACGGUCGUAGAGAUACGGCUUCCCUUCGGGGCGGGUUCACAGGUGGUGCAUGGUCGUCGUCAGCUCGUGUCGUGAGAUGUUGGGUUAAGUCCCGCAACGAGCGCAACCCUCGCCCCGUGUUGCCAGCGGAUUAUGCCGGGAACUCACGGGGGACCGCCGGGGUUAACUCGGAGGAAGGUGGGGAUGACGUCAGAUCAUCAUGCCCCUUACGUCCAGGGCUUCACGCAUGCUACAAUGGCCGGUACAACGGGAUGCGACGCGGCGACGCGGAGCGGAUCCCUGAAAACCGGUCUCAGUUCGGAUCGCAGUCUGCAACUCGACUGCGUGAAGGCGGAGUCGCUAGUAAUCGCGAAUCAGCAACGUCGCGGUGAAUGCGUUCCCGGGCCUUGUACACACCGCCCGUCAAGUCAUGAAAGUGGGCAGCACCCGAAGCCGGUGGCCUAACCCCUUGUGGGAUGGAGCCGUCUAAGGUGAGGCUCGUGAUUGGGACUAAGUCGUAACAAGGUAGCCGUACCGGAAGGUGCGGCUG
rnacentral:rRNA from 1 species